AUCGCCACUACGGAAGCCUGUUUAGGUAAAAACUGCAUAAAUAAUUCUUCCAGUGUAUAGUUAUUGUUUUUAAGUGCGAGAUUGUUACUUUGGUUCGCACAAACCUUUCUGUGUCUGUUUAGCUACUGCACGCCUGUAAGACGCUGGCUGCGUGUUACGUCAAUGAUUGGAACAUUUUAAUUUUUGUCUUCAGGAGUAGGUCAGUCAGUCUGCUAGCAGCUAGCCGCACAAGCUAGCAGGGAUGGCUGCUGUCAUUCUAAGUUCCCCAACUGUGCAAAGUCUAAGGACAUUCACACAAAAUCAAUUAUGGACCAAAAGAGGAGUGAGACUUGUUUCAGGAGGGGUUGGACGGAUAGAGAAGGUCCUCAUCGCCAAUCGAGGAGAGAUUGCUUGUCGUGUGAUGCGCACCGCCAAGAAAAUGGGUGUCCGCUCUGUGGCUGUGUACAGUGACGCUGACAGACACUCCAUGCAUGUUGCCAUGGCAGAUGAAGCCUACCACAUUGGCCCACCAGCUUCCCAGCAGAGCUACCUCUGCAUGGAAAAGGUUUUGGAUGUUGCCAAAAAGUCUGGCUCGCAUGCAGUCCACCCUGGGUAUGGCUUUCUGUCAGAAAACACAGAGUUUGCAGAGGCGUGUAAACAGAAUGGAAUCAUCUUCAUUGGACCGCCAUCAUCUGCCAUCCGGGACAUGGGCAUUAAAAGCACAUCAAAACACAUCAUGUCAGCUGCAGGGGUGCCAAUCAUUGGAGGUUACCAUGGAGAUGAACAGUCAAAUGAGAGACUGCAAGCAGAGGCUGUAAAAAUUGGCUACCCUGUGAUGAUCAAGGCGGUCCGUGGAGGAGGAGGCAAGGGCAUGCGCAUUGCACGGUCCGACGCGGACUUCUUGGAGCAGCUGGAGUCUGCAAGACGGGAGGCCAGAAAAUCAUUCAACGACGACGUCAUGCUGAUUGAGAAGUUUGUCGAGGAUCCCAGACAUGUGGAGGUUCAGGUGUUUGGGGACGUGCAUGGCAAUGCUGUAUACCUCUUUGAGAGGGACUGCAGCGUCCAGAGGAGACAUCAGAAGAUCAUAGAGGAAGCACCAGGACCCGGCAUCAGCACUGAGGUGAGGAAGAAACUUGGAGAAGCGGCCGUGAAAGCAGCUAAGGCUGUCAACUAUGUAGGAGCAGGUACAGUGGAGUUCAUCAUGGACGCCCAGCAUAACUUCUACUUCAUGGAGAUGAACACCAGGCUGCAGGUGGAACAUCCUGUCUCUGAGAUGAUAACUGGCACAGACUUGGUGGAGUGGCAGCUCAGGGUGGCAGCAGGGGAGCGCCUACCUCUCCUUCAGAGUGACAUCAUCUUAGGUGGUCACUCUUUUGAGGCCCGUAUUUACGCAGAGGAUCCAAACAACGAUUUUCUCCCGGGAGCGGGGCCUCUGCUACAUCUCUCCACACCCGCGCCAGACCAGCACACACGCAUAGAGACUGGAGUCAGAGAAGGGGACGAGGUGUCUGCUCAUUAUGACCCAAUGAUUGCCAAGCUUGUGGUGUGGGGGGAAGACCGCGCUGCUGCCUUAAAGAAGCUGCGCUACUGCUUAAGACAGUACAAUAUUGUGGGGCUGAGCACCAACAUCGAUUUCCUGUUGAGUCUCUCGGGUCACCCAGAGUUUGAGGCGGGAAACGUGAGCACCAGCUUCAUCCCUCAACACUACGCAGAUCUCUUCCCCGCACCGAGAGCUCCCUCUGGGGCAACAGUCUGUCAGGCCGCCCUGGGGCUGUUACUCGAGGAGAGAAGGCACACUCAGAACUUCACACAGACGUCCGCAGAUCCUUUCUCUCCAUUUGGCUCCAGUAGUGGCUGGAGGCUGAACACACACUUCCACAGGAGCAUGACGCUGCAACUGGGAGACAAGAAGGUGGAUGUAUUUGUCACGUACAACAAAGAUGGAAGCUACACAAUGCAGCUGGACCAGGAGGUGUUCCACGUGACAGGGGAGGUGGAGAUGGAGGGCGGAGCUUCGUUUCUGCACUGUUCCGUGAAUGGCGCGAAGUCUCGCCCCAAACUGGUGAUCUUGGACAACACAGUUCAUCUUUUCUCCACGGAGGGCAGCUCAGAGGUUUCUCUUCCACUUCCAAAGUAUCUUGUGUUUGCAGGAGGGCAGCCCAGAGGUUUCUCUUCCACUUCCAAAGUAUCUUGUGUUUGCAGGAGGGCAGCUCAGAGGUUUCUCUUCCACUUCCAAAGUAUCUUGUGUUUGCAGGAGGGCAGCCCAGAGGUUUCUCUUCCACUUCCAAAGUAUCUUGUGGUGUUUGCAGGAGGGCAGCUCAGAGGUUUCUCUUCCACUUCCAAAGUAUCUUGUGUUUGCAGGAGGGCAGCUCAGAGGUUUCUCUUCCACUUCCAAAGUAUCUUGCUGGUGUGAGCGGCUCUGCUGCUGCAGGUGGCGCUGUGGCACCGAUGACUGGCACCAUUGAGAAGGUGCUGGUGAAGGCUGGUGACAGAGUGAAUGUUGGCGACCCGCUGAUGGUCAUGAUUGCCAUGAAGAUGGAGCACACCAUCCGUGCGCCCAAGUCGGGUGUGAUCAGGAAGGUGUUCUUCACUGAAGGCUCUCAGGCUGACCGUCAC